GGGGAAUUUUGGGCAAUGGGGGCAAUCGUGAUCCACCCAUGCCGGGUGAGUGAAGAAGGCGUUGGGGUUGUAAAGGUUUUUCAGCCGGGAAGAAAUAGCACGGGUUAAUACUCUGUGUGGAUGACGGUACCCGAAGAAGAAGCACCGGCUAACUACGUGCCAGCAGCCGCGGUAAUAAGUAGGGUGCGAGCGUUAAUUGGAAUUAUUGGGCGUAAAGAGUGGGCAGGCGGUUAGUUAAGUAAGACGUGAAAUCCCCGGGCUCAACCUGGGAAAUGCGUUUCUGACUGUCUGACUAGAGUGUGGCAGAGGGAGGUGGAAUUACUCGUGUAGCAAUGAAAUGAGUAGAUAUAUGGAGGAACACAGAUGGCGAAGGCAGCCUCCUGGGCCAAUACUGACGCUCAUGCACGAAAGCGUGGGGAGCAAACAGGAUUAGAUACCCUGGUAGUUCACGCCCUAAACGAUGUCAACUAGUGUUCGGUGGGGAGACCCAGUGAGUACCGCAGCUAAC
rnacentral:rRNA from 1 species